rnacentral:tRNA from 1 species
AAUGAAUUGCCUGAUAAAAGGGCUACCUUGAUAGGGUAAAUAAUGUGAUUUCCUCACAUUCAUUA